rnacentral:rRNA from 1 species
GACGAACGCUGGCGGCGUGCUUAACACAUGCAAGUCGAACGGAAAGGCCCUGCUUUUGUGGGGUGCUCGAGUGGCGAACGGGUGAGUAACACGUGAGUAACCUGCCCUUGACUUUGGGAUAACUUCAGGAAACUGGGGCUAAUACCGGAUAGGAGCUCCUGCUGCAUGGUGGGGGUUGGAAAGUUUCGGCGGUUGGGGAUGGACUCGCGGCUUAUCAGCUUGUUGGUGGGGUAGUGGCUUACCAAGGCUUUGACGGGUAGCCGGCCUGAGAGGGUGACCGGCCACAUUGGGACUGAGAUACGGCCCAGACUCCUACGGGAGGCAGCAGUGGGGAAUAUUGCACAAUGGGCGGAAGCCUGAUGCAGCAACGCCGCGUGCGGGAUGACGGCCUUCGGGUUGUAAACCGCUUUCGCCUGUGACGAAGCGUGAGUGACGGUAAUGGGUAAAGAAGCACCGGCUAACUACGUGCCAGCAGCCGCGGCGAUACGUAGGGUGCGAGCGUUGUCCGGAUUUAUUGGGCGUAAAGGGCUCGUAGGUGGUUGAUCGCGUCGGAAGUGUAAUCUUGGGGCUUAACCCUGAGCGUGCUUUCGAUACGGGUUGACUUGAGGAAGGUAGGGGAGAAUGGAAUUCCUGGUGGAGCGGUGGAAUGCGCAGAUAUCAGGAGGAACACCAGUGGCGAAGGCGGUUCUCUGGGCCUUUCCUGACGCUGAGGAGCGAAAGCGUGGGGAGCGAACAGGCUUAGAUACCCUGGUAGUCCACGCUGUAAACGGUGGGUACUAGGUGUGGGGUCCAUUCCACGGGUUCCGUGCCGUAGCUAACGCUUUAAGUACCCCGCCUGGGGAGUACGGCCGCAAGGCUAAAACUCAAAGGAAUUGACGGGGCCCCGCACAAGCGGCGGAGCAUGCGGAUUAAUUCGAUGCAACGCGUAGAACCUUACCUGGGUUUGACAUGGAUCGGGAGUGCUCAGAGAUGGGUGUGCCUCUUUUGGGGUCGGUUCACAGGUGGUGCAUGGCUGUCGUCAGCUCGUGUCGUGAGAUGUUGGGUUAAGUCCCGCAACGAGCGCAACCCUUGUUCACUGUUGCCAGCACGUUAUGGUGGGGACUCAGUGGAGACCGCCGGGGUCAACUCGGAGGAAGGUGGGGAUGACGUCAAGUCAUCAUGCCCCUUAUGUCCAGGGCUUCACGCAUGCUACAAUGGCUGGUACAGAGAGUGGCGAGCCUGUGAGGGUGAGCGAAUCUCGGAAAGCCGGUCUCAAUUCGGAUUGGGGUCUGCAACUCGACCUCAUGAAGUCGGAGUCGCUAGUAAUCGCAGAUCAGCAACGCUGCGGUGAAUACGUUCCCGGGGCU